rnacentral:rRNA from 1 species
GACGAACGCUGGCGGCGUGCCUAAUACAUGCAAGUCGAGCGAGCUUGCCUAGAUGAUUUUAGUGCUUGCACUAAAUGAAACUAGAUACAAGCGAGCGGCGGACAGGUGAGUAACACGUGGGUAACCUGCCCAAGAGACUGGGAUAACACCUGGAAACAGAUGCUAAUACCGGAUAACAACACUAGACGCAUGUCUAGAGUUUGAAAGAUGGUUCUGCUAUCACUCUUGGAUGGACCUGCGGUGCAUUAGCUAGUUGGUAAGGUAAUGGCUUACCAAGGCGAUGAUGCAUAGCCGAGUUGAGAGACUGAUCGGCCACAUUGGGACUGAGACACGGCCCAAACUCCUACGGGAGGCAGCAGUAGGGAAUCUUCCACAAUGGACGAAAGUCUGAUGGAGCAACGCCGCGUGAGUGAAGAAGGGUUUCGGCUCGUAAAGCUCUGUUGGUAGUGAAGAAAGAUAGAGGUAGUAACUGGCCUUUAUUUGACGGUAAUUACUUAGAAAGUCACGGCUAACUACGUGCCAGCAGCCGCGGUAAUACGUAGGUGGCAAGCGUUGUCCGGAUUUAUUGGGCGUAAAGCGAGUGCAGGCGGUUCAAUAAGUCUGAUGUGAAAGCCUUCGGCUCAACCGGAGAAUUGCAUCAGAAACUGUUGAACUUGAGUGCAGAAGAGGAGAGUGGAACUCCAUGUGUAGCGGUGGAAUGCGUAGAUAUAUGGAAGAACACCAGUGGCGAAGGCGGCUCUCUGGUCUGCAACUGACGCUGAGGCUC